UAAGUAGUGUGAAUUGCAGAAUUCAGUGAAUCAUCGAAUCUUUGAACGCACAUUGCGCCCUUUGGUAUUCCAAAGGGCAUGCCUGUUCGAGCGUCAUUUGUACCCUCAAGCUUUGCUUGGUGUUGGGCGUCUUGUCUCUAGCUUUGCUGGAGACUCGCCUUAAACUAAUUGGCAGCCGGCCUACUGGUUUCGGAGCGCAGCACAAGUCGCACUCUCUAUCAGCAAAGGUCUAGCAUCCAUUAAGCCUUUUUUUCAACUUUUGACCUCGGAUCAGGUAGGGAUACCCGCUGAACUUAAGCAUAUCAAUAAGCGGAGGAACGC
rnacentral:rRNA from 1 species